UACGUAGGGUGCAGGCGUUAAUCGGAAUUACUGGGCGUAAAGCGUGCGCAGGCGGUUUGCUAAGAGAGAUGUGAAAUCCCCGGGCUUAACCUGGGAACUGCGUUUCUAACUGGCAGGCUUGAGUGUGGCAGAGGGGGGUGGAAUUCCACGUGUAGCAGUGAAAUGCGCAGAUAUCAGGAGGAACACCGAUGGCGAAGGCAGGCCUCUGGGCCACUACUGACGCUGAGAAGCGAAAGCAUGGGGAGCGAACAGG
rnacentral:rRNA from 1 species